UACGAAGGGGGCUAGCGUUGCUCGGAAUCACUGGGCGUAAAGCGCACGUAGGCGGCUUUUUAAGUCAGGGGUGAAAUCCUGGAGCUCAACUCCAGAACUGCCUUUGAUACUGAGAAGCUUGAGUCCGGGAGAGGUGAGUGGAACUGCGAGUGUAGAGGUGAAAUUCGUAGAUAUUCGCAAGAACACCAGUGGCGAAGGCGAAUCUCUGGACCGGUUCUGACGCUGGAGGAGACGAAAGGCUAGGGGAAGCAAAGCAG
rnacentral:rRNA from 1 species